GACAGCAGUCGCCGCGGGAAUACGGAGGGGGCUAGCGUUGUUCGGAAUUACUGGGCGUAAAGCGCACGUAGGCGGCUUGGUAAGUUAGAGGUGAAAGCCUGGAGCUCAACUCCAGAAUUGCCUUUAAGACUGCCGAGCUAGCAGGUGAGAGAGGUAAGUGGAAUUCCGAGUGUAGAGGUGAAAUUCGUAGAUAUUCGGAAGAACACCAGUGGCGAAGGCGGCUUACUGGCUCAUACUGGACGCUGAGGUGCGAAAGCGUGGGGAGCAAACAGGAUUAGAUACCCCUGUAGUCCCUGUCUCUUAUAC
rnacentral:rRNA from 1 species